rnacentral:snRNA from 1 species
AUAUAUGAAAGUUGGCUAAUACU